rnacentral:rRNA from 1 species
GACGAACGCUGGCGGCGUGCUUAACACAUGCAAGUCGAACGAAGAGCGAUGGAAGCUUGCUUCUAUCAAUCUUAGUGGCGAACGGGUGAGUAACGCGUAAUCAACCUGCCCUUCAGAGGGGGACAACAGUUGGAAACGACUGCUAAUACCGCAUACGAUCUGACCUCGGCAUCGAGGAUAGAUGAAAGGUGGCCUCUACAUGUAAGCUAUCACUGAAGGAGGGGAUUGCGUCUGAUUAGCUAGUUGGAGGGGUAACGGCCCACCAAGGCGAUGAUCAGUAGCCGGUCUGAGAGGAUGAACGGCCACAUUGGGACUGAGACACGGCCCAGACUCCUACGGGAGGCAGCAGUGGGGAAUCUUCCGCAAUGGACGAAAGUCUGACGGAGCAACGCCGCGUGAGUGAUGACGGCCUUCGGGUUGUAAAGCUCUGUUAAUCGGGACGAAAGGCCUUCUUGCGAAUAGUGAGAGGGAUUGACGGACCGGAAU